AACGAACGCUGGCGGCAGGCCUAACACAUGCAAGUCGAGCGAGGACUUCGGUUCUAGCGGCGGACGGGUGAGUAACGCGUGGGAAUGUGCCCUUCUCUACGGAAUAGCCCUGGGAAACUGGGAGUAAUACCGUAUACGCCCUAUUGGGGAAAGAUUUAUCGGAGAAGGAUCAGCCCGCGUUGGAUUAGGUAGUUGGUGGGGUAAUGGCCUACCAAGCCGACGAUCCAUAGCUGGUUUGAGAGGAUGAUCAGCCACACUGGGACUAAGACACGGCCCAGACUCCUACGGGAGGCAGCAGUGGGGAAUCUUAGACAAUGGGGGCAACCCUGAUCUAGCCAUGCCGCGUGAGUGAUGAAGGCCUUAGGGUUGUAAAGCUCUUUCAGCUGGGAAGAUAAUGACGGUACCAGCAGAAGAAGCCCCGGCUAACUCCGUG
rnacentral:rRNA from 1 species